UACAGAGGGUGCGAGCGUUAAUCGGAAUUACUGGGCGUAAAGGGUGCGUAGGCGGUUAGUUAAGUUAGAUGUGAAAUCCCCGGGCUUAACCUGGGAAUUGCAUUUAAGACUGGUUGACUAGAGUAGAGUAGAGGGAAGUGGAAUUUCCGGUGUAGCGGUGAAAUGCGUAGAUAUCGGAAAGAACAUCAGUGGCGAAGGCGGCUUCCUGGACUCAUACUGACGCUGAGGCACGAAAGCAUGGGGAGCAAACAGG
rnacentral:rRNA from 1 species